GAGUUUGAUGCCUGGCUCAGGACGAACGCUGGCGGCGUGCCUAAUACAUGCAAGUCGAACGAGCUCUCCUAAAUUGAUUUUAUGCUUGCAUAAAUGAUUUUUAGAUUCGGAGCGAGUGGCGAACUGGUGAGUAACACGUGGGUAACCUGCCCCGAAGCGGGGGAUAACAUUUGGAAACAAAUGCUAAUACCGCAUAAUUAGUUGGAACCGCAUGGUUCCAACUUGAAAGAUGGCUCUGCUAUCACUUUGGGAUGGACCCGCGCCGUAUUAGUUAGUUGGUGAGAUAAAAGCCCACCAAGACGAUGAUACGUAGCCGACCUGAGAGGGUAAUCGGCCACAUUGGGACUGAGACACGGCCCAGACUCCUACGGGAGGCAGCAGUAGGGAAUCUUCCACAAUGGACGAAAGUCUGAUGGAGCAACGCCGCGUGAGUGAUGAAGGUUUUCGGAUCGUAAAACUCUGUUGUUAAAGAAGAACAAGUGUUAGAGUAACUGUUAACACUUUGACGGUAUUUAACCAGAAAGCCACGGCUAACUACGUGCCAGCAGCCGCGGUAAUACGUAGGUGGCAAGCGUUGUCCGGAUUUAUUGGGCGUAAAGCGAGCGCAGGCGGUUUUGUAAGUCUGCUGUGAAAGCCCUCAGCUCAACUGAGGAAGUGCAGUGGAAACUACAAAACUUGAGUACAGAAAGAGGAAAGUGGAACUCCAUGUGUAGCGGUGAAAUGCGUAGAUAUAUGGGAAGAACACCAGUGGCGAAGGCGGCUUUCUGGUCUGUUACUGACGCUGAGGCUCGAAAGCAUGGGUAGCGAACAGGAUUAGAUACCCUGGUAGUCCAUGCCGUAAACGAUGAAUACUAGGUGUUGGAGGGUUUCCGCCCUUCAGUGCCGCAGCUAACGCAUUAAGUAUUCCGCCUGGGGAGUACGACCGCAAGGUUGAAACUCAAAGGAAUUGACGGGGGCCCGCACAAGUGGUGGAGCAUGUGGUUUAAUUCGAUGCUACGCGAAGAACCUUACCAGCUCUUGACAUCUUCUGCCAACCCAAGAGAUUGGGCGUUCCCUUCGGGGACAGAAUGACAGGUGGUGCAUGGUUGUCGUCAGCUCGUGUCGUGAGAUGUUGGGUUAAGUCCCGCAACGAGCGCAACCCUUAUUAUUAGUUGCCAGCAUUUAGUUGGGCACUCUAGUGAGACUGCCGGUGAUAAACCGGAGGAAGGUGGGGACGACGUCAAAUCAUCAUGCCCCUUAUGAGCUGGGCUACACACGUGCUACAAUGGAUGGUACAACGAGUCGCGAAACCGCGAGGUCAAGCUAAUCUCUUAAAGCCAUUCUCAGUUCGGAUUGCAGGCUGCAACUCGCCUGCAUGAAGUUGGAAUCACUAGUAAUCGUGGAUCAGCAUGCCACGGUGAAUACGUUCCCGGGCCUUG
rnacentral:rRNA from 1 species